UGCAUUAUCAGAAGCAUUCGUACAGAGU
rnacentral:sRNA from 1 species